rnacentral:rRNA from 1 species
CCUACGGGUGGCUGCAGUGAGGAAUAUUGGUCAAUGGGCGCAAGCCUGAACCAGCCAAGUCGCGUGAGGGAUGACGGUCCUAUGGAUUGUAAACUUCUUUUGUAGGGGAGUAAGGCCCGCCACGUGUGGCGGGAAGGAGAGUACCCGAAGAAAAAGCAUCGGCUAACUCCGUGCCAGCAGCAGCGGUAAUACGGAGGAUGGGGGGGUUAUCCGGAUUUAUUGGGUUUAAGGGGGGCUAAGGCGGAAGGGUAAGGCAUCGGGCAAGAGUCGGUGUCCAACACCGGCCUGGCGGUGAAACUGGUCUGCUUGAGUGCGCGGGAAGUAUGCGGAAUGCGUGGUGUAGCGGUGAAAUGCAUAGAGAUGACGCAGAACUCCGAUUGCGAAGGCAGCAUACCGCAGCUCAACUGACGCUGAGGCACGAAAGCGUGGGGAUCGAACAGGAUUAGAUACCCGUGUAGUC